GCUCUCUGCCAUAUCUCCCUGCGGUUCUCACUUGGUUUCCCAUUGAAGCUAAGCAUGGUUGAGCCUGGCCAGUACCUGGAUGGGAGACCUCUUGGGGAAAACUAAGGUUGCUGCUGGAA
rnacentral:rRNA from 1 species